AUUACCCUGUUACUGCCACCCCUACCCCACCCACUAUACUGUUACUGUCACCCCUACCCCACUCACUACCCUGUUACUGCCACCCCUACCCCACCCACUACCCUGUUAUUGCCACCCCUACCCCACCCACUUCCUUGUUACUGCCGCCCCUACCCCACCCACUACCCUGUUACUGUCACCCCUACCCCACCCAUUACCCUGUUACUGCCACCCCUACCUCUAACACUACCCUGUUACUGUCUCCCCUACUCCACCCACUACCCUGUUACUGCCACCCCUACCCCACCCACUACCCUGUUACUGCCACCCCUACCCCUAACACUACCCUGUUACUGUCUCCCAAAGGUGCCAUGGUACAAAUUUAAGCAACAGCCAGGCAAAGCGCGCCAGCGAUAGCGGAAAUAAUCUAUUUAGAAAAGCACCAACAUGUUUCUAGUAGAUUUACUAUCAAACGAGGGAAAAACCCAUAUGCGAAAGCGUUAAAAUUAUCUUAAAAGAUGACAAAACAUUAUUGAGACAUUAUUGAUUAGUGAAACCCCCUCGCAAAAAGCUAGAUCCGCCCCCUGACUAUUGAAUGUAUAUUAUUGGCCCCUGACAGCAGUAAAUAUUUCCGAACUUGGUUAUUAAUAUUUAAUGAUAUAACAGAUAUAACAAACUGUGCGACGCGCAAUAACUUUGGUUGAGUUCAGUGCGUCGCUGAACAGAAGAAAUAAUCUAACAUUGGUCAGGGAAGGAAGAUAAUGCAUCGUUACCUUACGGCCUGCUUGUUUUCCGCCAUCUUCCUCAUCUGCAUGUUUAACGCAUGCGCAAAUGCUCGAUGCCGUCAAACAAUAGGCACUGAGUACGGGUUCUACCUGAUGAAUCACGUGAACGAAACUCGGCACGGGAUUGGUCUAGUUGGCUGCAUACAAGCGUGCACAGGCUCAAGUCAUUGCAAGAGCGUCAAUAUCGACUUGAAACGUGAUGUGUGCGAGAUGAACUCCGCCUCUAGAGAUGAGUUUUCAGGAGAUUUGGUGAAAACGUACGGCACCUUGUAUGCUACGAUGAAUAACUAGUAUACGGUGUUUAAUCACCAUUAGAAGACCACGGAUAACACAUAACUAGUAUACGGUGCAUAUCACCAUUAGAAGACCACGGAUAACACCUAAAGUUACCCGUUUACGCAUCCUUGUACAGUUGUGUAACCCACCUACACAUUUAGAUAAAGGAUAUGUGUGUGGCGCGCUACCACUGCAAACCGGAGGGGACUCCGAUAAAAACGGACGGGGUGAUUUUAACCCUAGACCCUGGGCACUUUGAAUGUGGUCAACAGAAAUUCUUACCCCUUAGAAAUAGCAGAAUAGAAAAAAAACGUUAAACACGUACCCCCUUAGGAAUAGCAGUUGGUCGAAUUUUACUUCCCUAAGAGAUGGCAGAAUUUAACACCCCCUAAGGCAGUUGGUUUAAAUUUUAUAACCUAAAAGAUAGGACGACCCCCCACCCGUCUACUUUGCUGGAGAGUCCCCCCCCGGGCGUUGCCACAUUGACAGUUUUGUGAAGCCAAAAAGAAUGCGAGUAUCUUACUGUCAUGAACUUCACCGGCAAACAGCAUGGGAGAGAAAUACUCCAGUGCAUAUUAGAACACAGCGGAAUCCCCCUCGUCACGAAGCUCGUUUCAGUCAAAACUGGUCUUCUCAUCGCAUGCUUAAUAGAAAUCUUUCUUUAAACUUUGUAUAGUAGCCUAACACUUACGUACAUUUUGUAAGCACUCAUCCUAUUCUACAAUCCUGUGGUCUCCUAUGCAGUCGUUCUGACCUGUCACGCAACAAGUUAUGGUUCUUUACCGUGGAAACAACGAUUCAGUAAAGCUUUUGUCCUAAAUAUAAGCAGCCCUCUAUUAGAUCAACCCACACGGUGCCCAUUCAGCUAUCUACGAUUUUAUCCCCGGUGAAGGGUAGAGGAGACGGAUGUCUAAACGCUGUGUUUCGUUAAAGUCUCGAGACUUUUACAAGGUGUUUGCAAAAAGACGGGCUACGAUGCGAGCCAAGGUUUUGUAAAUUUUCUAAUGCUUUCACAAUUUGUUAUUCGAGACUGUUAUACAAUGGGACAAUUAAAUCUGCGUUAUUAUAAACCA